GAAAAGAAAAAAAAAAAUUUGGUUUCCAUCAAAACAUCAAUUUGAAGAGAGAAAGGAAGAGAAAAGAGGGAGAAAAUAUAUUUCUCCUCUCCAUUGCAUCUACUCCAAAAAAUUUCUCUCUAAAUCGGAGGGAAAUACCCUUAAAUUACUUUAGUAGAAAAAUCAUCUCUCUUCUGUUUCAUUUUUGCUCCUCUUUGCUGCAGAAAGUGUCUCUCAUCUUUCAUCAUUUUUACUCUUCUUUUUGUAGCAGAAAGUUAUGUGAAAAUGCUUCUUUCAUUAUUUUUUUCAAUGAUACUUUUAAUACGUUUUAUAGUAUAAUUCAGUCAUGAGUUUUACCAUGUGAAUUCUAUUUCAUGCUGGAAGUUAC
rnacentral:misc_RNA from 1 species